rnacentral:rRNA from 1 species
UACGGAGGGUGCGAGCGUUGUCCGGAAUCACUGGGCGUAAAGGGCGCGUAGGCGGCCUGAUAAGUAGGGGGUGAAAUCCUGCGGCUUAACCGCAGGGCUGCCUUCUAAACUGUCAGGCUAGAGCACAGUAGAGGCAGGUGGAAUUCCCGGUGUAGCGGUGGAAUGCGUAGAGAUCGGGAAGAACAUCAGUGGCGAAAGCGGCCGACUGGACCUGUCCUGACGCUGAGGCGCGAAAGCGUGGGGAGCGAACCGG